ensembl:misc_RNA
UUAACUGCCAUGGAGACAGAAGUCCCCUAUUAAUCCACAGAGCAGGUGCAGCAUUAACAAUGGUGAUGCAAGCUUCCCUACACAUGUAUCUGAACUCUUACCUGGAGAGACCAGCUUUAGGAGUGAAAGGAGAGCUCAGUGACCCAUGUCCACUCAAUCUUUAGCUUCU